AUUGAACGCUGGCGGAAUGCUUUACACGCGCAAGUCGAACGGCAGCACGGGGGCAACCCUGGUGGCGAGUGGCGAACGGGUGAGUAAUACAUCGGAACGUGCCCGGUCGUGGGGGAUAACGUAGCGAAAGUUACGCUAAUACCGCAUACGAUCUGAGGAUGAAAGCGGGGGACCUUCGGGCCUCGCGCGAUCGGAGCGGCCGAUGUCAGAUUAGGUAGUUGGUGGGGUAAAGGCCUACCAAGCCGACGAUCUGUAGCUGGUCUGAGAGGACGACCAGCCACACUGGGACUGAGACACGGCCCAGACUCCUACGGGAGGCAGCAGUGGGGAAUUUUGGACAAUGGGCGCAAGCCUGAUCCAGCCAUUCCGCGUGCAGGACGAAGGCCUUCGGGUUGUAAACUGCUUUUGUAUGGAACGAAAAGGCUCUGGCUAAUACCUGGGGCUCAUGACGGUACCGUAAGAAUAAGCACCGGCUAACUACGUG
rnacentral:rRNA from 1 species